rnacentral:rRNA from 1 species
GCAAGUCGAGCGGCAGCGCGAGAAGUUUACUUCUUGGCGGCGAGCGGCGGACGGCUGAGUAACGCGUAGGAACGUGCCUCAAAGUGAGGAAUAACUGCCCGAAAGGGUGGCUAAUGCCGCAUAUGAUCUUCGGAUUAAAGGAUUUAUCCGCUUUGGGAGCGGCCUGCGUCGGAUUAGGUAGUUGGUGAGGUAAUGGCUCACCAAGCCGACGAUCCGUAGCUGGUCUGAGAGGAUGAUC